UGAGCAGACGAGCCUCUCGGGCUGUACUUGAAGCAAUGCUGUGCUAAUUCCUCGGUCUUUCAUGCUUUCAGGAGGAAGGGGAGGUAGUCCUUUAAAACAAAUCUCCAGCCUGAUGGCAGAGUCACGUACAGGAAAAGAUGGGGAAACCACUGACAUCAUUCCCAGCAGCUACUUCUGCUUUUUCCAGGUUCUGCCCUCCCCUGGUGAAAUCACCCCUGCUUAAAACACGUCUUUGCUACAUUCUCUAUGCCAGCAACUCCCAAAACAGUUUCCUCAAAUUGAUGGAAUAAAUAA